ensembl:snRNA U6 U6 spliceosomal RNA
UUGCUUGCUUUGGUAGCACAUAUACUAAAAUUGGAAUGAUACAAAUAAAAUUAGCAUGGCUCUGGCACAAGGAUGACAUGCAAAUUUGUAAAGUGUUCUAUAUUAAA